rnacentral:piRNA from 1 species
UUCUGCCUUCAGAGUUAACCUCUUCA